rnacentral:rRNA from 1 species
UACGUAGGGGGCUAGCGUUGUCCGGAAUCAUUGGGCGUAAAGAGCGUGUAGGCGGUCCGGUAAGUCCGCUGUGAAAGUCGGGGGCUCAACCCUCGAAUGCCGGUGGAUACUGUCGGGCUAGAGUGCGGAAGAGGCGAGUGGAAUUCCUGGUGUAGCGGUGAAAUGCGCAGAUAUCAGGAGGAACACCUAUUGCGAAGGCAGCUCGCUGGGACGUUACUGACGCUGAGGAGCGAAAGCGUGGGGAGCGAACAGG